GAUGGCAGUUGUGGUGUAAGGAUGCUGAAAGAGAUUGCCAUGCUAGAAAGUAUACCUGCUUUAAUCAUUGAAAGGUGGAAAAAGCAUGUGAUGCUGAUUGAAUGUGACCGCUGAACUGUAUCAAGAGAAAUGCCAUCAGGUAAGCUGGACAACAUGGAGCUGGAUGUAAUGUUAUUCUUCUUUAAGGAUUGAUGCCCGCUCGUUGGCUUCGCGGUCCAUGUUGAUCUGACUCAUGCAAGAGUUCUAAGCCCUUCUAGCCUUGUUUG
rnacentral:lncRNA from 1 species